rnacentral:lncRNA from 1 species
AUCAGACUCCAAGGAGAGGCCAACAGAUGAGGGAGCCAUUUUUCUGCAAUGGAAUUAAAUGGCCAAGUGGGUUUUUCCUUUGUUGCAAAUGGGGAAUGCUUUUCCUUUGACUCCACCAUCCAGUUCAGGACGCCUGAAUGUGUUUAACAUUUGCCAAAGGACUCACACUUGGAAGAAUGAAGACCUUUUAAAAAGAUCUGGAUUUUUCCUUAUGACUUGGAAUCCAUCUUUGUCUUGUAUAACUAGGUCAUAGCACACUAUUAAUGUCAGCAGUUAACAGUUUUGAAUUCAAAAAAACCUAAAGCACUAAACAGCCCUCAGCGAAGCCGCCUUUUUGCCAGCCCAACCCUGGAAAGUUUGCAGUCGUGGAAGGAGCAGAAAUACCACGAGUGUAACUUACAAAGAAGGUCUUGGCCGGAGACCGGAGCCAUGUCUGUGUUAUCCCCACUGUAGACAAUCCUUGCUUCCUCUGGACAUCUGGAGCAGGCCCAAUUUGACUGAGAGCCUUCCCCCACUAAGUUACAGAUCCAGCCCCACCAUCACCACCAGAGUUGAGUCCAAAUCCAACACUCUAGGCCGGGUAGUGCUGGGACUUUGCCAGCCUCCUGCUGAGGUAGGGCUGGAAGUGAAUUCUCCCCUUGGCAAACUGCAGCCAGCCAGCCUCCUGGGUCGAGAGCCAAGCCAAAAGAUGUCUGAGAGAAGAAACCUGGGGUCCUGCAAAGCCCUCCUCCUCCCCCCCCCCCCCCUUCAGCCAGCACUUAGGCCCUCCCUGAUUUAGCCCGUUACCUUGACAACCACUUGGGCCUGUCUCCCUCAUCACCACUGAAAACCUGAAGGUGGUUUUCCAGCUGCGGUACAUUUGCCCAAGUUGGGCACCCCUCCAGCUUCUAUUGGCUCGCCCUCUAUACAGCUGUACCCAAUAUAACAAACACAACCUUCCUGGCCCCUCAGCUGUAGUCUCGAAAUUGAUCUCACUGGUCCCGGGAACUCCGUCAAUACUGCCUCCUCUAGACUGAGCUCCUCACAGGCAGGAACAUGGUUGUUUCUCAAUAAACAAGUUGCAAAAAAAGGAA